AUAUUAAAGAGUUUGAUGUUAGCUCAGUUUAACAUUAGCUAGGCAAUUAACACAUGCUUAUGAAUAUUGAUAAUUUUAAUUAUCAUUAUUUGUGUGAAGGUGAGUAAAAAAUUAGUAAUACCCUAAUAAAAAUUAAUUGAAGAUAUUCAAGAAUAAUGAGAAAAUGAUUAUUAGUAAUCAUUUGUAAAAAGAAUAAUCAGUGUAGCUGAUUAUUUAAGAUAAUUAUUCUCUAAUUGAAUCUUUAGGAUUCUGUAAUGUACCCAAAUGGGUAACUAUAAACUUACAUAAAGUAAGAUUAAUGAUUAAUUGAAAGAUUAAUCAUUAAGUAAAAGCAAUGAAUAGAUAUCUAUAGGAUAUCUAUCAUAAUUAAUGAAUUAUCAAAUAGAUUAAAUAUUUAAUAGAGUUGAUCAUGUGUAACAUGAUCUUAAGAUUGGAAGUGUAUUUUUAUCUUAUCUUAUCUUAAAAUAAUCGAUAGAUUAUUAACUAAUUUAAAGGAUUUACUAAUUAGCAAAGAGGUUGUUGAGAGAAUUAAAUUAUAGAUUUGUGAUAAAAUUAUAAUUUAUGGGACUACAAGCCGUUAUUAUUUGUAAUCAACAAUUUGAAAGGAUUGUAUCACAUUGGUGUUAAAAGAAACCAAAAUGAAUAAAAUUCAUUCAGCAGUGUAGAGAAUUGGUCAAUGUUUAAAAAGAAUGAACCAGUGACCUAGCAUGACGAAUACAAAAUGUAAAGUCAAAUAAAAAAAGAAAGGAUAACAAAAUAAUCUCAGCCAAUAUAUCGUGCCAGCAGCUGCGGUUAUACGAAAGAGAUGAAUGUUAAACAUCAUUAUUAGGUUUAAAGGAUACGCAGAUGGUUAAAUAAAAUAACAAAGUAUAACUUAUUAUUUAAUAAAUAUUAACUAGAGUAUAAUAGAAGAUUAUAGAAAAUAAAAGGAGAGAUGAAAUUCAAUGAUCUUUAUUUAACUGCUUAAAGUGAAAACAAUAAUCUUACUUUAUACUGACAUUAAGGUAUGUAAGCUAAAUUUAACAAAUAGGAUUAGAUACCCUAGUAGUUUUAGCCGUAAACGAUAAUUGUUAGAAAUUAGAUAAAUAAAAAAGAGAAGCUUAUGAAUUAUUAAUAAUAAUGAAAAGUCAAUCUUACUUAAUUCAAUUCUAAUUAAUUAGUAAUUAGAUAACAAAGCUUAAACAUUAGUAUAACUAAUGUGUAAUAAAUUUUAUUGAAAGAAAUUCUGAUUAAUUAGUAAUCUAUUUAGAUUUUUAUUAUUUCUAUUUAGAUUUUUAUUAUUUCUAUUUAGUUUCUAUCCGAAAGGAUUAAACAAUUCACCUGGUUAGUAAUUUCGCAAGAUUGAAACCCAAAACAUUAGACGGUUCUAGAAACUAGCAGUGAAUCAUGUUAUUUAAUUCGAUAAUCCACGUAAAAUCUUACCUUUAUUAAAAAAAAUUAAUUUUAAUUUUUUGGUAUCGCAUGGCUGUCUUUAGUUUGUGUUGUAAAAUGCUUGGUUAAUUCCUAUAACAAACGCAAACCUUUAAAUAAUUAUUUGCUUAAAUUCUAAUAGUUAUUAUCUUUAUUUUAUUAUUAUACUAGAUCUCUUAUAUUUAUACAAAUAUCAUUAUGAUCUAUCUUUAUUAAUUAGUUUACUAAUUUUACAAUUUAAUAGUUUAGAUAUUCACUUGAAUUUACAAUUUUUAUUGAUUAAAAUACUAUUAGUAUUUUUUUAUAAGGACGAAGACAAGUCAAUAUGAUCUAAAUGUAAAGGGCUAUAGACGUGAUAUAAAAAGUUAUACAAUUUUAAAAUAACUUAAUGUUCUAAUAAUUAUCUGUUACUCGAUAAUUUGAAGGAGGAAUUGCUUAGUAAUCGUUAAUCACUAUGUAACGGUGAAAUUUUUAUCUAGAAUGUACUAACUACUCGUCAAGCGCGGAAAAUUUGUUCUUAUUGAAUUUUUAAUUCGUGUUAAGUCGAAAUAAGGUAGCUGUAGAGGAAUCUGUAGCUGAAUUAUUAUUAAAGGAAAAUAACCCCCCCCC
rnacentral:rRNA from 1 species